rnacentral:rRNA from 1 species
UAGGGAAUAUUGGGCAAUGGAGGGAACUCUGACCCAGCCAUGCCGCGUGCAGGAUGAAGGCGUUAUGCGUUGUAAACUGCUUUUUAUAUAGGAAGAAAUAGUCCUUGCGAGGAAAGUUGACGGUACUAUAUGAAUAAGCACCGGCUAACUCCGUGCCAGCAGCCGCGGUAAUACGGAGGGUGCAAGCGUUGUCCGGAUUUAUUGGGUUUAAAGGGUGCGUAGGCGGUUUAUUAAGUCAGUGGUGAAAGACGGUCGCUCAACGAUUGCAGUGCCAUUGAUACUGGUAGACUUGAGUAUGAUUGAGGUAGCUGGAAUGGAUAGUGUAGCGGUGAAAUGCAUAGAUAUUAUCCAGAACACCAAUUGCGUAGGCAAGUUACUAAGUCAUAACUGACGCUGAGGCACGAAAGUGUGGGUAUCAAACAGGAUUAGAUACCCUGUAGUCCCUGAGCGGGCUGGCAAGGCGCAU